rnacentral:rRNA from 1 species
UCAUAACAGGUUUCCGUAGGUGAACCUGCGGAAGGAUCAUUAAUAAUGCCCUCUGACGCAAGUCAUUGGGUUAGAUCUGCUCUCUUCGCAAGAAGAGGGUUUCCAUACACACCGUGAACUGUGGCUUCGGCCAUCACAAACUGUUAGUAAUGAAUGUAUAUCAUAACAAAAACAAAACUUUUAACAACGGAUCUCUUGGCUCUCGCAUCGAUGAAGAACGCAGCGAAAUGCGAUAAGUAAUGUGAAUUGCAGAAUUCAGUGAAUCAUCGAAUCUUUGAACGCACCUUGCGCCCUUUGGUAUUCCGAAGGGCAUGCCUGUUUGAGUGUCAUGAAACCUCACCCCACUUGGGUUUUUGCCUGAGCGGUGGUGUAUUGGGUGUUGCCUUGCUAAAGGCUCGCCUUAAAGACAUAAGCACCUUGGAUGUAAUACGUUUCAUCCUUCUGGGUGGCUGAUAACCCCACAUAUUCAUGAUCUGGCCUCAAAUCAGGUAGGGCUACCCGCUGAACUUAAGCAUAUCA